ensembl:rRNA 5S_rRNA 5S ribosomal RNA
GCCAACAAGAAAACUGUCUUAACGUGCCUGAUCUCGUCUGAUCUCGGAAGCUAAGCAGGGUCAGGCCUGGUUAGUACUUGGAUGGGAGACCGCCUGGGAAUACUGGGUGCUGUAGGCU